CCUCAUAACAUAUUUCAUCAGAGAAGGUAGGUAGUCAAUUGUUGAAGAUAAGCUCAUGAAGAAAAGAAAAUAUACGAAAGAAGAACCGCUAAGAAUUUAACGUACGUCGGUGGCUCCAGUGAUAACAAAUAGGAAGUGAUGUAAUUUAUAUAUAAAAAAAAAGUAUAUGAUAGCAUCAAAGAGUAGUACCAACGGAAAAACACAAGUGGGUGUUUUAUACUUGCUGAAAGAAGUGAAGCUAUACAAAAUCAUAAAGUAAAACUUUAUAACGCUCCGUGAAAUCGUAAACCGUAAAUGGACUGACAGAGAAGUCGUUAAACGAUUUCCGAGGAUGACGGUGACUGGUUUGAAGUAGGCAGUAGUAAUCAAUGUUAUUAUAUUAUACUAUAGGGGUAAAGUUAUACUCCUUGCAAGUAGAAUGUACGAUUACUAUCAGAUUUAGUGAUGGAUACAUUUUCGUGAACAUUAUUAUAACCAGUGUUGCAUUUGUGGACAUAAAAUCCCAAGGGAUCUUGUAUAUAUUCAGAACCAUCUUCAGACGAUCCGUUUGUUCCUGGACGUAAUCCUUCGCUAUGGCGUACUAUGAAUAUUUAGUGUGACACCAUAAACAUUACACUUGUACUAAACCAAUUGAUAGGUCAGUGGAUAGUCUAUUGUCCUGGCAACGAGGAGACGAAGUAAUUGACACGCUGCAAAGGAUUGGAGUCAUUGGGGAAUUUCUACGCUCUAUUAUAUUCUACCUGACAUUAUUUGCCCUGCCUUCUGGUCUUUCUUUUGAAGAAUAAAGCCAAUCAUAGAACGAAGUAGAAACACCCUACCUUUUCAGUAUUGGAAAUUUUUGCUACCUGGGCUCCAUUGUACUAUUAAUCAAAAAGCGGCAACUGAUAUAAUGGAAGUUUACUGCAGUUGACGCGCCAAUUAGCCAAUCCCUUCCUGACACGUAGUCAAGUUGCUGGGUUCUGGUACAUGUAAAUACAUCCUUAUCACGAAGUACGAAUACAGCCGAGUGUAUCCGAGAGUAGCCGAACUUGAGAAACACUAUGGUUUCUCCAUAUCAAAGUAUCAAAGAAUGAUCUUGAAAGUAUGACAGCACCAGGGUAUCGACUCUUCCACGAUGAUCAUCGUCCUAACGCCAAGAGGUCCAGCAGAAAAUAUCAAGCAAAAUAUAAGAAUAGGCUGAACCCUCGUCGAAGAUGCACAUAGGCAUGACCAAAGGAUGAAGCGGAUGAGGAUGGUAAUAAAGACGAAGAGGAAAGACCAAGAAAAACAUGAAGAAGGUAUCGCCACGUGCAGCAGACCGUUCAACCAUGUAGGACUCAAUACUCGUGGCGUCUUCUGGACUCAGACUGAAAACUUGGCUUUGGUAGGCUGAGCACGUAGGAUUCUUCUUAUGGGGUGUCGAACGUCGAAAUAUAUCUGAUUUAUCUAUGGCUUGAUCGAUUGAUCUUAUUCGACUGGGUAAUCUGUGCUGGAUGAAGCUGAUAAAGUUACACGUACCUGUGAGGGUUCAUACGUGAUUUUAACUGGGAUACACCUGACUUUUGCACCUCUGUCCUGCGGCAGAGCACGUGCUUCUUGGUAGACAGUUAGCCGGUAAAGACUUUCACUGUUAAGUCGUGGACCAAGCGGUAUGCAUGUCGCUAUGUUGGAAGAGAUCGUUAUGUCGCUAUGGCGCCGCAUAUCGUGCUCUGGCGCCUUCAGUGAUUCUCAAUGAAAAUAAAUAAGAUUUUCAUAAUAUACCUCUGGUUGGGGAUUCAUAAGUUCGCGCCAUUUCUUUGGAGCUGCUUCCUGGCGUAUUUACAUAAUCGUAUACAGAGUAGUGGGAAGUGUAUUCUUUGUUGGAUCACAAUUUAUUCAAGACUGUCUUCUUUCUUAGACGGAAUAACUGCGUAUGGAGGGAAUACAAGUGAGGUUUAGCUGUCACGAUUUUAAAUGCAAACACUGUUUUACACGAUUUGGCGAAUCCUUAAGAAAGAUAAUCUACGUGUACUGCCAGUGUGUGUAAGACGAUGGAAUGCCUUUUAAAUACAGGAAUAUGGCGAAGAGACGAAAACAGGCGAGCUUACAUUUGUUAUAUUGGAAAUAAAAGAAAAUAAACCACGUUAUCGUGGGUAAUCUCUCAAUCGUUAAACACCACUGCUUGAACAGUGAAAUUUAUACCGUCGAGGAAAGCUGUCAGAAUUCGCCAUAGCCAACUGGUGUCAAAAACCAGUCGUCGAGGAGGACAAAUAAAAUAUUAAAGAAGACACAAAAUUGAUCUUGAUCCCACGGAAGCCCAUUGUGACUCUUUAAAAAAUUUCUCGUGUUUACUGAUGACGUCGUACUAAAAAUACUAAUGAUGGAAAUGGGUUGGGUCUUCAGGGAGUCACGUUAACGUCCCACCACUCAAGGAGCCAGGAUGCUUAAGGAAGGGGUGUCUUUCUUUCCGAGAAGACCAUUCGCUGACUGUCAACUGUCAACGUAGUUGAAACAAAUGGCUGCCACACCUCCGACACAAUUGCUGCUGAGUCCUACGGUCCCUCAGGCACAUCUGACAGUCAACUGGUUUAUGACUGCUAUGUGUAUCUGUUCUUGUCACUGCAGACGUUCAAUCCUGGAGGAACGUACACUCUGUACAUAGGGGGGUUAGAGGGGAAGUUAUGAAUUCCUUCAACCCUUUGAUGGCUGAUUUAAUUUAGGUAGCUACAACCAGAAAUUACCACUGACUCAUCACUGUAACGAGGCACUGGAUUAACUUUCGGUUUAGGGUUGUACCGUCAACUGUCAUAAGUACACCUUGUUAAAUCAGUCGAAAAGCAGCGUUGUUGGAAUUUUUUAACUUUUACUCAUUAUUAUUUUAACUAUCCUCAUUUACUCCAAUGCCUGUUAGAUUCUCAAGUAAAUUUUUUUAAUGGCGCGAUUUCAAUUUUACUCACGUUCGUAAAUACUGCUGCCUCAUACGUUUUCUUGAUAAUUAUUUUAAUCAGUGUAUAUAUGGACUUUGAUACUUUUAAGUUGUUAACGCUAUUUACCUUUUUAUAUUCAUAGACCGUGUACGUCCCUUUGCCUAUGUAAUUUUGCAUGAACCUACUUAAAGUAGAUUUUCUUUAAAUCACGCUGCACAUUCGAUUCUACGAUUUGUGUCUUGUCUAAUUUGCUAAUGCGACGUACUGUGUCAUGGGUAUACUAAUGAUUUAAGGACGCGUGAAUGCAAUUAUUUACUGACUGAUAUGCUGACUUAAAGAGACAAAGUCGCGAGCUCUUAGCGAGGGAAUAAGAAUUCGGUUGUCCGUGAUGAGACGGGAAGAUAAUUAGUUUAAAAUUUAAACUGAAUGCAAAUUAAGGCAAACCCAAGUGUAUCUCCGACAUCGAGGAACGGCAAUUUAAAUGUAACCACCCUUAUAUGGGCUACAGUCUAUAAGGGUGGCUUUUGUACAACACUCGAGACUGUCUGCAAGUACGUCGAAUCCAGGGGUUAUGCAAUAUUACUUAAAAGCAGUAAAGUCUCUGGAAAUCAAGGAAUCGCAACAGCGCAUGAAUUUAAAUCAAGAAAAUUCUUAUACAGAGGGACACAAUUUUUUUUUAAAUAUUACAUACCAAAAUUCUUUACAAUAAGCACACCGUGUACCGUCUUUAACUAUUACACAAAAUUUCCUUGUCGAAGGCUUCUGUCCCACGUACACUUAUUGUAAGUUCCCGAUACGAAAACCUACGCGUCUUGGCCCACGUGCGAAUUGCAAAAUUGCGCGGCCCCUGGCGACCGGAAGUGACGGCGCAUUUUUUACAAUUUUUAUCAGAGGCACUGGCGCCUUUUUUGUGUGUGCCGCUUCAUAAAUUUUAAAGGAUCGCGAAGCUGUUAAAUCGCUAUGGAAAAAAAAGUCCCGUGGCUGCACGGCCAUACGUAUCUCUAUACAGAUAUACAUUUCAUACGAUGCACAGUAAUGAAAACUCGUUCUCGAAUGAUGUGGCUGUUAAAUUUUAUUUUACGAUUUCAGACGAAAGGACAUCAUUGAAGGUGGAAAUCCGCGAGGAUUUGUUCAUUAACAGCCACAAAUAUAUUUCACCUGUUCAAAGUAAAUAACGCAAACGUAAGCAGUAGUAAAAAUACAUUGACAGAGAGGAUACCAAUGUAACCGUAAUACCCAAAGGUAGACUGUGUCUAUCGAUCAUAUGUUUAGUUUUGUGACUACAUAUGUGACAUGUGAAGUAUAGUCAUGUAGGUGCGUGCCUAAUUGGUAUGUACGCUAGCCCAAAGGUAAAGAAAUAAAGGAGGCCACACAUCAGAGCCCUCCGGGCACGUUAAUGUAACAACGUUACUCCGUCAGGGCUCCACAUUACGUAUACUCAGCAUAAUAACGAUAGUAGCCAGUAGUUCCACGUAUCAAAAUACGUCCGGUUAAUCAUCUAAUUAAUUAAAAGAAGACCUGGUUCACGAUAGGACACUGCCCACUGCAUGGACUUUGCGUAAUGUGUCUUCUUAUUGUGGACGAUCACGCAGAUCCUUUGUAAAAUGCAUUUACUAAUAGAAACGGCAAGGUUGGUUUCUAUGAAACGAAUGUUUCAGGUAAAUCUAUAUGCGUCUGGUUCACCUUCGUCGUACGUUGGGCCGCCUGGAGCUUAUUUAAUUCUUGAUCAGAGUCCUUUUGUGACGAAUAUAGUAAAAAUUGAACCUGGCUACUGUAACCGUAAAGCAAAAGCCAAUUAGGGAUACAUGAGAAUGCACCUAAUGCUUUUGCAGUGGAUAAGUGCUUUUUCAUUCUACGACAACUACACCAGGUUUUAAGUGCAGCAGCGAAUUUAUAAGGGACGACUGUCGCGCGACAGCUGAGGCAAUGAGAAUUGCCAUAAUGAAAGCAGACAGGGACUCACCUCUCCGCAGUGAAUAUCAUGGUCAUCAUCAUCAAUGCCACUCCUCGAAACAUCAACUACGAAGAGACUGUCAUCAUGAAUCAUCAGAUCUUUACACCGGACACUGCUGAAGAGUCUCUGGCUCGGAUCUGCUGCUCGUAAUAGUCGCAGGAAUCAUACUGAUGCCAGGACUCAGGCUCUGCUUGUACAGGUCGACAAGCCAGACUCUCCUGUCUCCAGUUUCUACCAGGUUCCUUUCGCAUGUCCAUUCUCGAACAGACCACCCUAUAUAUUACUAUCUAUGGUAUACACUCUUAAAGUGUAUAGGAAUCGUUUUGUUAUUGAGACUAAGAGAGGUUUUCCCUAAUGGCCCACUUGAAAGAUGUUUUGGUAGGUGAAGUGUCAGUUGUUUCUAAACCAGGCAAGUGUUACGUGACAGGUUGAGUCUCGUAAGAAGUAGAUUUUCCAAAAAGUAAAUGGAAUAUUUCAAAGAGUGGAAUUUUUCCAGAGUAAAAUUUGUCCUACGAAUAUUUUGUCAAAUUGACAACCGUACCGGCAAAUCUUAUUUAUUUGCUAUUUAAUUGUACGAUAUGUCCAGUACCGUUAUCCGUAUCAACGAUGAAUGAAUUCAAUUAGCACGUUUGCCGAGUUUACAGGCUCCGGCCGUAAUUAAACCAGAUAAGACACAGAGUCCCGACCCCAACGACGUUGGCGGACCGGUAGUCGAUGAUAUUUUUACCAAGGGAAUUCUAGUAGGCAGCAACUUGCAACAGGGAGUCGGACUCGUUGGAAAAACGAGUUUUAUUCCUUUACAGUCGUCAGCUUCAGGGUUAAACGACUUGCCAAAAGCUUUAGGCUAAUUAACAAUAAUAAUUAUGAGACUUAUCAAUUACACAGAGUACAACAAAGACUAUUACUUUGCUUUAAUUUUGAUUAAAAAUUUUAUAUGCAUUAUGUAUCCAGUCGUGGAUCUUUCUUAUUGUCAGAUACGUUGUAUAUACACGAACGAUCAUACAUACCAAUCCUUGUGUAAUCGCAACCGAUCAGAACUGAGUGGUUUUUUAUACAAGCAAUUUUUCACAUCAGACGUAUUACAGUGUUACUUGUCGCAAUUGCCGGUCGCCAUAUGGAAACGACGUCAAGAUUCUACAGCUACCUAUAACCGCUUUGGAAUAACUUCAGAUUAUCUUUAUGCAGUGUUUGACAUGGCGACCUGAUACGACGAAGAGUGCAUCGUAACGUUAUUACAUCCUUGUAUGAUCCUUGCUGGAAUUGGCUGAACGUGGAUGGGAGGAUGAAACAAUUUUUUUUUUAACAAGAAUAUCAAAUCAAACCAGUACCAAUUCGUUUGUUACCUAGAAUCGUUCGAAGAAACGUCGACGCGACGUUGAGCAUUGGGAAGGAGCCGAUAAAUUAUUGAUGCGUCGCAAUUCUCGGAGUACAUACGAAGCUAUCUUGAAGGAGCGUUCAGGAAUUGCGAUUAAUUGGAUCGACUGUCGGUUCCUAGGAUCGCGUACGAUUUCACUACUCUGAUAAUGUAUUCAUGAAACUCCAUUGGGUUCUUUGGCGGAUUCCUAUGUAAACUUCACAAUAUUUGGAGUAGCGUGAAUAAUCGACGCAAUUACAGGGGGACCCGAAGUUGCAUUAACCCUCAUGACCUGGUCCUUCAGAAACCGGCUCUGUGGGUCGCAACCGAUUAUCCUUUAAAAUGGCGACAUGUGCAUAUAUAGCACAAGGGAGAACAGACAUGGAUCGCGAAAAGGGUUGGAAUUGCUACAAGUUUCUGAACGAGGAAUUGCAAUGAAAGACUCCGCAAUUCCUUCGCCGGGCGAAACCACUUUUUACGAUUGCACGACGUGACAUUUUACCCCUUUGCAAUAGCUGCCGACUGAAAUUGCGUGCACUGGGUGUCCAUAAAGUACCAACUGCGCCGACUCUUCGGAGACGUUGAUGGGAUUCUUGAAAACUGCCUAAUAGAAUGUUAUACGUCGAUACCUGAAUGAGGAUAUGCUUUACGUUGGUAAAUCCGAGUCUGCAACCUGAAAAAAAUUUCUUUGAAAAAAAAAAGAAAAGCAAAGAUGAUACAGAAAAGAAAUGACAUAAGAAUAUUAGUCAGACUAAAGAAAUAAACGUGUUAAGAUGCAAUCGAAUUGCGCAUCGAUCAGCUUCCAGAUAAUGGAUAAUCCAUCCAGCGAAGGGUAAAAGGAAAAAAAUAUUCUCCUUAUCCUCUGACUGCGGAGCUUAUCGAAAGUGGAUCCGCAGUAAUACAUCAGCCUUGUAUAAAAGGACGUGCUAGUAGGGGUGGAAUCAAGACCCACCGAACCAAGAGCGUCGGGUAUUUCUUGCCGUACCAAUAUAUCUUUCUCGUGGUUCCAGAAAAUCUUUUUACUUCACGAGAACUUAAGGUAGCUGGCUACGUCGAUUCAAUAUAAAGCCUGAGGUCAUGGAGGAUGAACUCCCAGCGAGAUAAGUAGACGAGAUGCAGAAGGAACGGGAAGUGAUUGCAUUUUAGUUUGUGAUCAAAAGCACGCAAGUUCCUCCUGCUCCUGUUCCUGUGAGCAAACGGCUCUGUAUUUCUCUGACGUAGCUCCAGACAAUCGGUAAACACAUUUUCCAUCCCCAUCUAAAUUUAGGAAAGUGUAUACCUGUAUAUACGCCAGCCAGUCUGCGGAGGAAUAUAUAUGUAUAGUACGUAAUAUACGUACAUAUGCAUUUUACCAAACGAAGUUUUCGACGAGGAAAAGUUCUGGCGGUGCUACUGCCCCGUGUCCCUGGAGACUACUGUGAUUUAUAUCAGGGAAUUUAUAGGUUAAUGGAAAACUUGGGGUAUACCUGUAUAUGGACUCUGCGGUAUUAUAAUUCAGUUAACGUAAUGCAUCAUGCCAGACUUCGUUACCACGGGAGAGUGGAAUGGCGUGAAGCUUUUGCAGGCUGUCCUGCUGAUGCUAAAAUCCCUAGGAGUAUCUGAGAUUUGCAAAGUAAAUGGGAGUAUGACCCUAGCGAAGACACCAGGCGUGACGCUAUCGCAUUCCAUUUCUGUGAAGAAGACGUGGAAGCUGAUCCAGGCGGCUUCGUCACGUAAAAUGGAAGGAAAAAGAUGGCACGAAAGUAAGAAGGAAAUCCCUAGAACGACAGUGCUCAGUACCUUCGUAGGUGCGAGCUUUAGGAAAGCUCGGGAAAGUAGGUGAAACGUUCCCAAGCAAUUUCUCCAUCUAGCUGGAAGCUUUAACGUGGGAUAAAGGAAAUUUGAAAUGUCUUUUAUAGUUCUUUUAAUUUAAUAUUACUUUGUAAGCUUAAGUUUAUUUACCUACGUAUAUCUAUUUAUUUACUUCAUUCCUUGACGUUCAGGUUAUUACCAUCUGUCCGAGGAGCGUUUAAUUCCCGCUGUCAGUACAAAUCCGCCGUCUCAGCAGUCUACCAAUAUCUCCAAGUGACUUUAGUCAAAGUUACGGCGCCGGCAGUUUGAUUCUUUGCUAUACAGUCGAGAUUUGUUAGCCGUGAAAUUCACGAAAUAACGAGGUAACUUUGUGUGCUUUUAGGUACCCGAGUCUAGACGGGAUACCCGGCUUUGUAAAUUUCAACCUACAGUUAUAGAGUAGUUAAAAGUAUGAAUUUUCUAAUAGAAAAAAAUUCCACUUAGAUAAGUAAACAUAAUAAUUGUACUUAGCUGCGUUAUUACAGACUCGUCUCGUUUUCUCUGUCAGUAUCAUAUAAAUCAUCCAACGUUCAUUUUCAACAAUUCAGAGCUCGCGUUACAAUGCUUUGCUCUUAUUAAACAGCCAUUGUUCACUGAUAAUUGUUAACCGUUUUAUUUAUAAAUCAGAUUCUAUUAGUCCUAAUGCUUAAACCAAAUAUUUCUCUGUAACAAUUAUUCUUAUACGUCUUGGCUGUUACAUACACAGUAAUUCUAUAUUUGUUCCACUUUACCAUCUAGUAUAGAAGUUUAAUAACCCCGUUUAAUUAAAUUCGAAAGGGCCCUCCGUUUCCCGCUCGUCUUCGAUGUCCAAUAACCGCAGAAGCGGGCAGCGAACUCGCAAAACUAGCGCAAACUCAAACAAACGACGUUAUCUGUUAUUCUGCGUACAAUGGGACUCAAACAGUAGAGUACUAGUUCUAGUGCUGUAGUACGAGAUACGCCAAUCCCCUCUCUGGCAUUUCAUUUACAAUGUUCCCAGAUAAAAUAGUACAGGCUAAUUACGAAUUUUCAUUAUAAUUAAUUGCACGACCGUUAAGCACGUAGAAUUUGAAUUAUCUCCCAGUGAUUUAGUGUAUCGAUUGAUUAAGUAUGCAAAAAAAAUACUGGGUCACUUAACAGUACUCUCUUCGAUCAUUUAACCUCACUUUGAGGACUUUAAUUAAGGUUAUUCAAAUAUCAAUCGUUUAUUAAAUUCACAGAGCUCACUGAUAACUGUGUAAAGAAUAUACCCAGUGGCACGUAUCGUUUCUAACGAAACACAGGGUAUACCAACCUAUACGCAUACUGAAUGCCCAGCAGAAUUCACUCAAUAAGUUCAUGAAAGGCUCUGCCAAUGCAAACAGUGCAUUACAUUGAAACAAUGGCACAGAGUGAAAUAGCGUAACAGAUAAAAGACCAUGUAUACGUUUGUAUACUCUGUAGAUCCCAUAUAGUUCACAUACCGCGUGACUCGUAGGAAUCAGAUGAAUUAGAAAUAUGUAUAAGUUUGACACUUAUUGCUUUUACCCGUGUAAUAUCUUUAUACGUUAUUUACCUUGAUACAAGUUAGAAAAUUAUAUGGCAGCGUCAAAUUAAUUACUUAUUAUGAUUAAGUCUUAGAGGACUUCAAUCUCUUAUGUGCAAAGCGAAUACAGUGUGUAGUAUAAAUAUAUAUAUAUACAAGUAUAGUAAAAACAAUAUCAAGUCACUCUUGAUGACUUAUAAUUUCCAUAGCAAAU